rnacentral:rRNA from 1 species
UACGGAGGUGGCAAGCGUUGCUCGGAAUCACUGGGCGUAAAGGGCGCGUAGGCGGGGAGGUAAGUCGGGUGUGAAAUCCCUCGGCCCAACCGAGGAACUGCGCCCGAGACUGCUUCUCUUGAGUCCCGGAGAGGAAGGUGGAAUUCCCGGUGUAGCGGUGAAAUGUGUAGAGAUCGGGAGGAACACCGGUGGCGAAGGCGGCCUUCUGGACGGUGACUGACGCUGAGGCGCGAAGGUCAGGGGAGCAAACGGG